rnacentral:lncRNA from 1 species
GUGGAUCCUGCAUGGGGGCUGCAGGUGGAGCUGCCUGCCAGUCAGGAGCCGUGCGCCCCGCACUCCUCAGCCCUUGGGUGGUCGAUGGGACUGGGCGCCCUGGAGCAGGGGGCGGCGCUCGUUGGGGAGGCUAGGGCCGCACAGGAGCCCACGGAGGUGGGGGGAGGCUCAGGCAUGGCAGGCUGCAGGUGCCGAGCCCUGCCCCGCGGGAAGGCAGCUAAGGCCCUGCGAGAGAUUGAGCACAGCAGCUGCUGGCCCAGGUGCUAAGCCCCUCACUGCCCUGGGCCGGUGGGGCCCGCCGGCGGCUCCGAGUGCGGGGUCCGCCGAGCCCACGCCCACCCGGAACUCGCGCUGGCCCGUAAGCACCGCGCGCAGCCCCGGUUCUCGCUGGCGCCUCUCCCUCCACAACUCCCCGCAAGCUGAGGGAGCCGGCUUCGGCCUUGGCCAGCCCAGAAAAGGGAUCCCACAGUGCAGCGGCGGGCUGAAGGGCUCCUCAAGUGCCGCCAAAGUGGGAGCCCAGGCAGAGGAGGCGCCGAGAGCGAGCGAAGGCUGUGAGGACUGCCAGCAGGCUGUCACCUCUCACCAGGUUGGCAGAAAAAGAAAACAUUAGCAGCCAAAUUAGCCAGUCUGCCUGUGGAAUGAAGGCUCCAGUUUUUGACCUCUAAUGAAAGAAGAAAGAAUACUCAUUGAGGUUUCAGCUGCUUGGGGCCAUUUAGGCAUGGAUUUUCUUCUGCCUCUGCCACCUGGAGACAGGAAGACCAACCCCUCCUGCCCUCCUCCUCCCUAGCCUAGCCAAUGUGAAGAUGACAAGAAUGAAGACGUUUAUGAUGAUCCACUUCCACUUGAUGAACAAGAUGGGGUCAGCUAUGUAGACCAGGCUGGUCUCAAAUUCCUAGUGCCAAGCGAUCCUCCUAUCUUGGCCUCCCAAAGUGCUGGGAUUACAGGCAUGAGCAACAGCACCCAGCCUAGUCAUAAGAAUAAUGGAUUUUAAACAAGAGACCAUCAAGCUUCAGAUGAUUAUGUGACAUGGUUUCUAGCCAGUUCCAGGUGAAGACACCACCCCAGGCCAUCAAGAAGCUACCCUGUCACCACUGGACAGAGCAAGGAGAGAGUUCCGUGAGCCCCAGUGGGUAGGGACUGCACCCCAAAUUCAAGUCAGCAUAAAGCAGUUACAGAAAAAAAGACCAUCAGUCCCUAUGCCUCCCAUAAAGAUAUAUGAGAAUCUUGUCUCUCAGGGGGGACAUGAGGCAGGACAAGAAUGUCUGGAGGCAGGAAGCCUAAGGCCAAUUCCCACUGACUUCCUGGAGCUCAAUCCAAAGGAAAACCCCACUGGAUUAGUCCAUUUUCAUGCUGCUGAUAAAGACAUACCUGAGACUGGGCAAUUUACAAAAGAAAGCGAUUUAAUGGACAUACAGUUCCACGUGGCUGGGAAGGCCUCACAAUCAUGGUGGAAGGUGAAAGGCAUUUCUCACAUAGUGGCAGACAAGAGAAGAGAGCUUGUGCAGCGAAACUCCUGCUUUUAAAACCAUCAGAUCUUGUGAGACUCGUUCACUAUCAUGAGAACAGCACAGGAGGGAACCACCUCCAUAAUUCAAUCACCUUCCACCAGGAUCCUCCUAUGAUGCAUGGGAAUUACAGGAGUUGCAAUUCAAGUUGAGAUUUGGGUGGGGACACAGCUAAACCACACCAUCAAUCUCUCCAUAACAAAAGGAUCAGAAACUACUCCUUUUAUACUGCGUUGCAGAUGAAAAAUGGAAAGUACCUCUGAAUGGUUCCCUCCCACAAUCAGUCAGACUAGUCACAGGCCAAGUCUUCUUUUACAUUGGGUGUAACCAAGUAACCAAAGGGAAACUUUUAGAGGGUAUUGAAACCCCAGAAAAUGUUUCAAGGGGUGCUCUUUGCCACUUGCUCAAUCCUGCUCCCACUCUGUUGCAGUGUAAUUUCAUUUCAAUAAAUUUGUGCUUUCA